rnacentral:misc_RNA from 1 species
GGAAAAUAUGCCUCCGCGCAUGCUUUUGGAAGAACUAACCGACCAAUCCGUCCUGCAUCACUGGCACUCAGAACCUUCUCAAAUAGUGGCACAAUGGUAGAAUUUGAAUCUCCAGAUAUCUGUUGUAGCUCUUGGUCAGUUAUCCUUGGCCAAUAACGUGGAAGCAACUGAUUUCGACCCCUUCCUUCACCAGAUGGCCUAGCAACACGCAGAUGCGAACCAACCUCCUUU